AUUGAACGCUGGCGGCAGGCCUAACACAUGCAAGUCGAGCGGAUGAAGGGAGCUUGCUCCUGGAUUCAGCGGCGGACGGGUGAGUAAUGCCUAGGAAUCUGCCUGGUAGUGGGGGAUAACGUCCGGAAACGGGCGCUAAUACCGCAUACGUCCUGAGGGAGAAAGUGGGGGAUCUUCGGACCUCACGCUAUCAGAUGAGCCUAGGUCGGAUUAGCUAGUUGGUGGGGUAAAGGCCUACCAAGGCGACGAUCCGUAACUGGUCUGAGAGGAUGAUCAGUCAACUUGGAACUGAGGACCCGGCCCGACCCCUAAGGGAGGCAGCAGGGGGGAAUAUUGGACAAUGGGGGAAAGCCUGAUCCAACCAUGCCGCGGGGGUGAAGGAAGUCUUUGGAUUGGAAAACACUUUAAGUUGGGAGGAAGGGCAGUAAGUUAAUACCUUGCUGUUUUGACGUUACCAACAGAAUAAGCACCGGCUAACUUCGUG
rnacentral:rRNA from 1 species